GACGGGUGAGUAAUGUCUGGGAAACUGCCUGAUGGAGGGGGAUAACUACUGGAAACGGUAGCUAAUACCGCAUAACGUCGCAAGACCAAAGAGGGGGACCUUCGGGCCUCUUGCCAUCGGAUGUGCCCAGAUGGGAUUAGCUAGUAGGUGGGGUAACGGCUCACCUAGGCGACGAUCCCUAGCUGGUCUGAGAGGAUGACCAGCCACACUGGAACUGAGACACGGUCCAGACUCCUACGGGAGGCAGCAGUGGGGAAUAUUGCACAAUGGGCGCAAGCCUGAUGCAGCCAUGCCGCGUGUAUGAAGAAGGCCUUCGGGUUGUAAAGUACUUUCAGCGGGGAGGAAGGGAGUAAAGUUAAUACCUUUGCUCAUUGACGUUACCCGCAGAAGAAGCACCGGCUAACUCCGUGCCAGCAGCCGCGGUAAUACGGAGGGUGCAAGCGUUAAUCGGAAUUACUGGGCGUAAAGCGCACGCAGGCGGUUUGUUAAGUCAGA
rnacentral:rRNA from 1 species